AGCCCCGUAGUACAGUGGUCAAGUAUACUAGCCUUUGGAGCUAGGGACCCAGGUUCGAAUCCUGGCGGGGCUA
rnacentral:tRNA from 1 species